rnacentral:lncRNA from 1 species
ACGUGAGAAGAAACUGAAAAGAUAUUGGCGGCGAGGAACAGGGGUGGGGGGGGAGGUUCGAGCUCCGCGUCGGCGUGUUUUCAUAAAAAAACGAGCAACAGGUAGCGCCAGCGCGUGAAAGCCGACACACUAGCGUUCUGGCGUCCGUUCCCUCACGAAUAGCGUUUCAAAACAAUAUUUCGAGAAAAAAACAUCCAGAGAUACGAGAAAAAAAUUGCCGGGUUAACAGCUCGAAGAAUUACUGCUCAACCAACCAUUUUUCAUACGCGCCAUUUUAUUACUCUCGUACAUUUGAAAAUCUAUUCGAAAAUCUAUUUCGAAAAAUGUAUUAAUUUACUUUUCUACAUACGUUUAUCUAGGCCUUCGAGAGUGAUCGUUACGACUACACAAUACCACGCGUCCCAUUUUUCCAAUUUGAAAAACUCGUUGAAAAUUUCAGCCCAAUCGACCGAAGAAUUAUUUCGAAGCACAGAACGAUGGGAUAUUUAUAUAAUAUAUGGAUGUGCACGUAAUAUGCCGGACGAGCGCGAAACGGGAGCAACAGGUUGUUCGAAAGGGACAAACGAGCACGAGAAGCAAAACUUUCGGGGCGUUACGGAAGCGCGCGCGCGCACCGUUUUGAUUUGUCCGACGCUAUCGCGGCCGUUGACUCAUUACUCGGGGCGAAAAAAAUCGACAACUUUUGUUUGUGAAAUUGACACUUUUGUGUUAGAGCUGGUAAAUAUCUUCGGCACGGGUUGUCAUGAAAAUGAAGGAAAAUACGGUUACAACCGAAAUGAAAGAGAACAAAGAAAAUAGUGGGAACUAUGAAAAUCCAUUCGAGUGAACGAUAAUUGGGAUGAAAUAAAAAAUAAAACGUUUGCGAAACGAGAGAAUUACGUGACAUUCGGAAACCGAAGUAUUCCGAAGAAUCGCGAGGGAAAAGUUGGGUAUCGGUGAAGUGAGAGGAGAACAAGCAAAGAGGAACGCACCCAUGCUGCGGCGUCGCCGCCAUCGACAAAACCGGCUCGACUCCGUUGACGUCCACGGACUCGAACAAUUCGCGUAUAUCUCGCGAUUGUUCAUCAUUUUUUCCACUGAUUACAGCAGCGAGAUCGCACGAGGAAAUCACGAGUUUCGACUCGUCACUUUUUUCCACAAAAGAUAAAAAACGCAUACGAUUAUCUCAAUGUUAUGCGGGAAUGAACGACAAUGGACCCGCAGUGAGAAGUUUUGGCUACAGUUUUUGUUGAAACUAACGUUAAAUAAUGAGUAAAACGAAAUAUCGAGAAUGGCAAAAAAGGAAGUGGUUUUGUCGAGUUUGCACGAGAAUUCGGUAACGGGCGUUGGAGAGACGCGCCGUGGCGCAAACGAUGGCGGCCACGGAGCGCGUCCUUGAAAACUGAAAUUAUGCCCUUUGAAAGAAAUCCGGUCGGGACUGUGGAUGGCGGUUUGGUAAGGGGGGCAACUGCAGAGUGGGAGGAGAGCCAUUUCUCCUCUCCUCCAGCGCCGUUGCUUCGAGCGUGUUGCGCUUUGGAAGCUUCCACCGACGACCUUUGUAUCGCUCGUGUAGUCUUUCUUUCUCUCGUUCUUCGCAAGCAGCGCGCCUGAGAUUCGUACUGCUCCCCACCGUGCAACAUUCUCCGAGUAGAGGUUGUAGCUGUAGCAAUGGCAGAGGAAACGUGCUUUGUGGGAGCGAUUUAUCCGAGUUGGUGGGGAUAAUGGCGGGCAAUCUUACCUGAAGGAUUUUUGUGGCGGGAAUUACAGAGAGGUAUUGCCGUGUACGCGAUUCUGGACCCGUCGAACACGACUCGAGCCGAGUCGAUUGGACCGUUGAAAGAAGCAAAAAACAUUUUUCAAUCCAGUAGCCAGUGUCAGCGUCUAUGGGGAAAUGACUUCGAAAACUUUAAGAAACUCGGUAACUGUGAUUUUCUCAUCGAACUGAGACACGACGCACUGAUCGUAAAAUGUCAUGAAAAUGGCGUCGAAAGAAUAAAAAUGGAGGAUUAGAAAGAACAAGAUACGCGCAGCAUCGAAAAAAACAUGCUUCGCAGACUUAUCGCAGCCUUCAAUAUUCUCCUUUCGUUCACAUCCCCCCCCCCCCCCCCCCACCCCCUCGCACUAUAUCUGAUUACUUAUACAAUACCGAUAUUAUACUGUACGCUACGAGUUCAGUACUGCUACAACAGGGUCAAAUACGCAGCUUGUCAAAUCUCCAGCUCCACUUUCAAUCUGCUAAGAAAGAUCGAAGAGGCGAGAAAAAAACUAACGCUUUGAAUAACCGUUGCCCGUAAUGAUCGAAUAAAAACAACUUGGCUCGAAGCCUUCGGGCGAAGAAAAAAGGUAACACAGACAUACACGGGCGCGCCAGGACCACGAACGAAGAAUUGGGUCCACAGGUAGACUCGUUACGUCAUUACCACUAUGCCUACCGCAAAGAAUGUGCGGAACAGUGUUGCCAGAGCUCUGUGUAAAUCAUCGUCGUUGUCCGAGCGUGGAGACACGAAGAGAGACGACAUGUAACGUGCAAAGGGAGAGAGGGAGAGGGAAGAAAAAGAUGGAUAGGAAGCAUCGAGCGUGGAUCGAGAGGGCGAAAUUUAUUGCCCGGACGCUCUACGGGUGAUUUUACGUCGACGACCGUUAAAGAGACACGACACCCGAAUCCUUCCAUCUUGCGAAUGGCAACGGAGAUCGCGAAAUGAGAGAAGGAGAGGAAUCGGGGUGGGGGCGUUGCGAAAAUAUUAUUUUCCUUGGCUCUUGAAAAUCGGUUGAAGUUUCGGCCGCAGAUUCGGCCUUUGACAAGAUACACGAAAUAUUUGAAUAUAACCUACAAAUCUUGAUAACGAUGUUGGGUUACUUUUGGCAAAUUUAUAACACUUCUACAUCGAUCGUUUUCUCCGUUUUUUCUUCUCACACUCACCACCCUCAACUUUGAAUUUCCUACUUACCUUUGUGAGUUUCGAUAAUUCUGCGUAACGGAGAAACGGGAUGAGAACCAUCGAGAGCGAGAGGGAAAGAGAAAGAGCGCGCAAAGGCAGUCGCAACGCUCGUAGUUUUUAGAGAUGUUUCGGACCGUACUUUCCAUUUGAUCGAGACUCUCCAAGGUUGGCUCUAAACCAAUAUUUUUUUCAACCAUAAACGCUAUCCAUUUUUCAACGAGGACUUCAGCACUGAUGUCAUAAAUGUCACAGAGAUCCAGACCUGUACAAAAAAAGUAAUAUUGUUAACCGAAACAAUCAUGAAAUUUGCAUGUUCGUAAACUUUCCUUCAGUGUCGGUAGCUCUUCUCUUCCCACAGGAAAAAAGUAUGUCUUAUAAUAAAAAAAUGUUUUGAUAAUAAUGUUAUUUUUUAGGAAAUAUGAGAUAAAUAUAAUAUACAAAAAGAAAGAUUAAUGUAAAAGAUGUAGGCAUUGAUGAUGAUGGAUUGAAAAAAGAAUUUCUACAAUGUUUGAAUAUUGAAAUUUUCAUUUAGAAUACAAAACACGGUGCUCAAGAAAAAAUUCGUGAAAACACGAGCUAGUUCGUUAAUAUCUCUAUUUUGAAGCAAUUCUGGCAAACACAUAAUAAAAUUUCAUUCCCUAGA